rnacentral:lncRNA from 1 species
GGGACUUCUGCCUCCUGCCACCAGAAGCUGCCUACAGAGACUGAAGCCCACCACGUUCUCGAUUAACUGCAGUCAUGGACGGCUCCAGAGAUCUUCUCCCUUUUGUCUCUGGCACAAAAGCUUGCUCGGUGUGAAGACAACACAUGAGUUAUCACCUCUGCCAACAAUGCAUGCAUUCUUGGGGAGGCUAGGGGACACUGGGAGCCCUGGCUGUGGCCAAGGAGGCACUAAAUCAAGCUGCUUCUUGGAGGCUUUCAUGGUUUCCUCUAAACAAAGCAGCUCUCAUCUCACAGCAUGAAGGAGUUUCUGAACACAGUUGCUAAAAAGGCACCAGGCUGUCCUCGAGAUGUGGAAUUCUCAACUGAGCAGGUGGACUAAGGGGUUCGCAGGUCACGGCACGAGCUCCUAGGAACCCCAAGUAGCAGCAAGAGGGUUACAUGAGAUGAUAGUAAGUUUCACCACUUUCACUUACCAUAAAGGAAAGCGGCCACUACAAAUCCAAUAAUUAGUCCACUCAACAUUUCUCUCCUGCGCCCACGUACCUGGUGGUCUUCUGGAAGCUGGGGACGCAACCAUGAAUGAAACAAAGUCCCUGGUUUUGAAGAGCAUACACUGUACUAACAGAGAUUGGGGCUGAAAAAUUCGUAUUUCAGUUGGUUACAAGGGCACUGAAGACAACUAACAUGGUUAUGGUAACUAGCCUGGUGCCAUAAUGCAGAGAAGCAUCAAGAAGGUUCCCUUAAGGAGAGGAUGAAUGAACAAGAAUGCCUGGAAGAAAAGCAAGACGCUGCUGGGACAGGCAGGAGCAAGGGAGCAAGGAAGCCCGGCCUGAGGGAAGGUGCGGAGGCAACAGGGCUGUGUCCCGUGCUCUGCUGGAGCUGCAGAGCCACUUGAGCUUCCGACCCCUCUUUACAAGGCUCCCUCCAGCUGCGGGGUUGAGAGUACACAGGACAGGGAGAAUGAGAGUGGCUCCAAGGCUACGGCAAUAAAUAGGGGUGGGGCGGCAGCAGUGUAGACCAGGGACUGGAGUCUGGAUCUACCUAGGGAGGGCACGGCCAUUAGGAUGUGCUGGUGGAUCUGUGCAGUGAAGGAAGGAGAAGAGCCAUGUGUAGUCACAGAGCCUCCAUUUAGGGGCACCAAGAUACCACUUAGUGACAGGGGGAGGUGGGAGAGCUGGCAUGGGCUGUUGGGAGCCUAAAGCUGAGUUUGGACUCACCUCUCCCCAGGAAUGCACUCAGCGAAACUCAGCUAUACAAUGCAGUUGCCCUUGGAGAGUCAUCCCACUGUGUAACAGGCUAGGCUUUUGGUUCUACGUUGGUAGCGGAGCAGCCAACACAGACAAGGAGACACACACCACGGAGAAUGCUCAUGAAGAGCGGGGGCUCUGGCUUCAAAACCCAGGCUACCACUGUGUGGCCACCUAAGCUUGGGCAACUCAUAUAACCUCUGCGCUCCAGCAUCCUUGCCUGAAAAAGGAGGGGAAUAAUGUCACCUGCAGAUCAUAGGACAGAAGAGUGAGCUAACGUGAUCAACCAAUCAAUGGGUAGAUGCAUAUGUACUACACAGAAAUACACAGAGCUAUAAUUCUUCCCCCUGGAAUACACUCAAUUGAUAACAAACCAUGCCACAGGAUUUUCAGAGUAACAGGAUGCAAAUCGACUCGAGUCCCACAAAAUGCCAUGCUGGAAAGUGCUCUAGGAGGCUACAGAUCAGAAGAGCAAAGCAGCCUGGGCAGACAACCACGAAGAGGAGUGACCGGGGAGCUGGGGGUGGGAGGGAGGAUUAGCAAAACCAAAGAUGCCGGCAGAGCCUCUCACCAGGCAGGCCUGGGGUGCUCCUCCCAAGGGAGGCCAGAGGGCUGUGGGAACAGGUGUGGAAUCAGCAAACCCACCCUGACCCCAGAUGGUAUCUGAGGGUACCAAGCAGUCAGUGUCGGCACAGACAUCUUUGCCACACACUUGGACCACCGACCACAGAUCACUGGGACCUCUGCUGGCUCCAGAAGUCUCCCUGGGUUGAGGGUGGCCAGUGGAGGAUGGUACCGAGGGCCUGCCGGCAUUGUCAAGGUGACGGCCCAGCCUGACCAGAUGUGGCUCACCUCCCCACCCUACCUGUCCAGGCUUCUCAGCCAUCCGAGGACACCCAGUACAGGCACACCCCUGGCUACAGCCAGCAGGCCAAAAGUAUGUCGGAGAAGGUCUUCACAGGCCGGCUGGUACAGGCAGGCAGACCUGGAGGCAUGGGCAGGGACCCCAGUGGCCAUGGAGGGCAAGGUGACUCUAGUUUCGUGGAGCAGCCAUGCAUCUGGGUUAUGUCCCCGUGCCUGCCUUCCCCUUAGUGGAGGGUAGCGGGUAUACAUGGCAGCUUCAGAAGUGUCACUCCCUGAACCAAGAUGCACUUAUCCCUCAUCCUUUGUGAGCUGACUUCGAUUUGGGUUGCAAGGUGCUCCCUGAGCCGAGGCCAGCACCUACCGUGAGUGGCUCCCCCUGGAGCGCCUGCAGGAUGAAGUUGCUGACUACUCGCCCAUCGUUCAUGUGCAUGCGUGGCCCAAAGGUGUUGAAGAUUCUGGCCACUCGCACUUCCACGCCUUCCUGGAACAGAGAGAAGAGGAGGUCAGGUGUGCUCCCCUGUGUGGUCCACGCAUCCACUUUGCAUUUCCAGUGCCCUGCAUGCAAUGCAGAAUGGAAACGUUCUGCUUUCCAUUCCAAAAUGGAAAUGGCUUUUUUGUUCUGAUUCCAUAAUGUGCUCAUUAUAGACCAAUCGGGAGACUACACAGGGCUAUACCAAAGAGAGUCAAAGCUGUCCCAGAUCUCGCCACUGAAAGGCCACCAGCAUUAAUAUUUUGGUAGAAAACCAGCCAAACAGUACAAGGAGGAAAAACGUGUAUUUAUAUAAUUUUUUUUCCCAGUUAAAUAUAUAUUUUCCAAAAUGGGAUCAUGUUAUGAAUAUGCUUUUCUAAUCUUUUUCACAUAAUAUAUUGUGCAAAUUAAUCACUCAAUAGAGAUUUAGAUGUCAAUGAAUAUUUAAUAGCUAGGGAGAAAUACAAGAAAGCUCUCUAUCUUAGGAAAAGGGGACACAGAAACGUUCUUACUGAGUGAGCUUGCAUCUACACUCCCAAUCUAUUUUACUAAAAAACAUCUGUUUUAGUGAGAAACUAAAUACAACUUAGUGCCCAGUAUAGGUUAUUAGCUAAUGGCCUGGAAAGAGAAACAUACUGACACUGUUUAAAUAGUCAUCCCUCCUGUUCAUUUUCACCUCUAUGUUCAUUUUCAAGUAUUUUUAAUGCUUCUAUUUUUACUACAAUGAACAUGUAUUACUUUUGUAAUCCAGAAAAGCCUGUUUUCAAAUAUGCAAUCAUGGAAGUGCAUACUUGAAUAACAAAAGCCUGCUCUAAGUGAUCGUGUUAAUUAUUAACUUCACAGACUGCUUUGCCAUGGAUGGAAAAAUUAAAUGUUUUUAUCACAAA